AUUUAACGCUGGCGGCAUGCUUUACACAUGCAAGUCGAACGGUAACAGGCCGCAAGGUGCUGACGAGUGGCGAACGGGUGAGUAAUGCAUCGGUACGUGCCCAGUCGUGGGGGAUAACGCAGAUAAAGCUGUGCUAAUACCCCAUACGAUCUAUGGAUGCAAGCGGGGGACCGUAAGGCCCCGCGCGAUUGGAGCGGCCGAUGGCAGAUUAGGUAGUUGGUGGGGUAAAGGCACACAAAGCCAACGAUCUGUAGCUGGUCUGAGAGGACGAACAGCCACACUGGGACUGAGACACGGCCCAGACUACUACGGGAGGCAGCAGUGGGGAAUUUUGGACAAUGGGCGCAAGCCUGAUCCAGCAAUGCCGCGUGCAGGAAGAAGGCCUUCGGGUUGUAAACUGCUUUUGUACGGAACGAAACGGCGAGCUCUAAUACAGUUUGCUAAUGACGGUACCGUAAGAAUAAGCACCGGCUAACUACGUGCCAGCAGCCGCAGUAA
rnacentral:rRNA from 1 species